rnacentral:lncRNA from 1 species
GGAGAAAGAUAUUUUGGUCCAAAUCCGGAUCAUCUGUUCACCUGGACCUAUUUUGGGUUUUCUGACCCAUUUUCAUUUUAGGCCUUUGACCCCUAUUUUCCUUACCUGUCAUAGACUAAACAAUAAUAAAAAUAAGUAAAAUUUACAAGGCUUAAACCCGAAAAUAACAAAAUAUAUUUGUUCGAGAAUUGGCACUUUUUGACUCAUUUUCAGCUUUUUGAGGUCAUUGCUGAUCGUUUACUUGGGUUUUAACCCAAAUAAUAACAUCUUUCUUCUCUUUCGCAGCAUGAAGGUUGACACAAGGAGAAUUGAAUGCAAGGGGGUAGGGAGUCCGAGUGGACUCAACAUGGGAUAGUGUUCAUGCAAAGAAGAUAAAGGUAAUGAUUUAGCACAAGUGAAUUAAACAAGUAGGAGCUGAUAUUUAUAAAAUAAAGCAACUCAUAUAGCAUGUCAGAUAUUUGAUAUUCUAAUAAUAACCUAUCGUUGUUGACUAACUUAACACCAAUUUGUCUAUGAAUAAAUAAAACACCAAACUUCAUAUAACGUAGAAUAAUUAAAACGGCAAAGAAAAUAAUUAGACCGUACAGACAACAUAAUCAAUAUCUCAUUGAGCCAGAAUGUUCAAAAAAAAAAAAAAUUCUUAAGAAAUCACAACUAACUUUUCAUAACAUGUAUGGGCUAUGAAAAGUUACUCGAUCAGGAGAUAGCUCGAAUUCAUAAAUUAUAGAAUAGCAGAUGCAUAGUUAAGAAAAAUACACUGGGAUUUUAAUAUAAAUAAAGGGAUAAGCAUGAAUAUAAAGUUUCCGCCACAUAAAUCUCAAACAAAUAUUCAACCAACGAAACAACCUUAUAUAGAUUUGCAUUCACAAAUGAUCAAGUGUGUAGGUGUCCACCAAAUUUAAUUCCCAGGGAUGGAAGACAACAAACGAACAUAUUGAUGUCUAGAUUAUAAAGUUGACAACAAUUCCAACUAUACUGAGAAGACAUACUUAAAGAAAACAAGAAGAGAAAGAUAAAUAAAUAAAUAAAUAAAUUAGCCAACCAAACCUAAAACAAUAUUAAAGCUCCAGCUGAAACUCAAAAAAUUAGAACAAAUGUGCUUAUAACUACUGUAGCUUUCAAGAUGAAUUAUUUCCAAAUUUUUAUAUAAGCAUAUGAUUUUAUUGUGGCAGGUUUAUCAGUGAGUAAUCAAAAAAGCAAAAUAAUCACAUCCUCAAUUCCUACAACUUAAUUCAUAUCAGUGUAUUCAACUAGUCAUCUAAUUCGAGGGAGAAUAAUUUUAUCCUCUUCAUUUUCAAAUCUAACCAGAUAUAUUUCUAAGUGUAAACAAAUAUCAACAACCUUUCAAAAGGAUAUGCUGAGAAUUACAACCUAUAUAAAAUAAUCCGGUGCAGUAAACUCGGCCAAAUGCAACAUUUAAUCCGCUUAAAUAUAACAAAUACUCAGCCUCAAAACCAAACUAAAAGACACAACUAUAAACAACGACAAAUAAAAACAUGUAGGAGAAGGUCUAAAAGGGUGUCGAGGAAGGUCAUAAGUGAUAAAUAAAACAAAGAUCUAUAUACGAUAUCAUGCUCUCGAUACUCCCUAGGUGGAGAUUAACUACAAUCAAGCUUAGAUAAAAGAAACAUAACAAAAUAAAUUAAUAACAGGAAGGGGCAGAAAGCUACUACAAUUUGGCAUAUAAACCUAACAGCCACACCUAACACCAGAAAGUGUUCAAAGCUAAUGUACAGGGAAUCAAUGAUUCAUAAAAAAAAAAAAGCAAAAUCGGAAGCAAAUGUCAUCGCCUAAAAAAACUCAUGAUAUUCACGUCCAUGCUUAUGAAGACAACAUAAUUUGGUCCCAUCUCAUAUACCCGAAACCGAAUACGGAGUGAGCGGAAGAUGAAACACACAACAAUUUUUCAAAGUAUAAUGAACCACGAUGAACAGUUCCGGGCAGCCACAAAAGGAAAACACAUAUAUCAUACAUUAGCUCACCAAUAACAUAUAACCAUCAAUCGAUUAGGACGACUUUGCUCUCAUAAUGCGACUCUACCACAGAAAAGAAAAUGAAGGAAUAUAGGGAAGAAAUGUUACCUUUCAAAAUGCAGCGAACUAAGGAGAACGACGAGCAGGGGUAAUGUCUAGCUGUCAACACUAAAAUGCGCACACUAACCUGCAAAUAAGCGAGUCUGAGGGCGGAAUUUUGAACUCUAAGGAACCUUAGAAAGGUGAGGACGAACUAUGGGAGAAGAGAGAAACUUGGACAGUAACUAGUUCCCUUCCCUUUCCUUUCCUUGAAUGUGUGUUCUAUGUCUUGUGGCUACUUUGCCUUAUAUGUUUUCUCAAUGUCUUUGCUCUUAAGAAACUUCCAAGAUGAAGAAACAAACUCUAAGACUUUUGCUCAACUUUUCUUUCAACAAGAAAAAUAUAACAAGCUCCUCCAAAAUUCCUCUCUCUGUAACCCUUUUUUUUUUUUAAAAAAAACGAGAAUCAAAAUCAGAAAACAUUCCAAUCGUCCAACAAGAUUCCCCCCCCCCCCCCAAAAAAAAACCCGUAGUCCCUGCCUCCAAAAUCCUCAAAAAAAAUAAUCCGUCCCAAAAAAAAAUCCCUUGACUUGAUGGAGAAACGAGAAUAUAUAGAAAAAGGGUUAGGGUUUUUGGAUUGGGGGGAAAGGCGAGGAAAAAAUUGAACUUUCAAGCCCCCUUUUGAAUUUUUUUUAAUUCCCCAAACCUCGCUGUAUUUGGACGAACACACCUUUUUUGAGGUUCUUGUCCCAUUCCAGAAAAAGAAGGGCGGACUAACGACUACAUCGGAUCGAUCGUCCUUGACGGAGCAACGUGGCUCCAUCCUACGCUAUCAAGGACGCAACAAUAGCUGGAAUCGUGGCCAAAGUUGCACAACCGUACGAUUCGAUAUCAACAAGGAGAAGAAAACAAAAUCAAAUCGUACUCUCUCCGGCCAUUCGCUGCUUUCCAUGUAAAUUGACGCCUUCCGUGAACUUGCCCGCGCGUGGAGAGGAUUAGAGCGCGUACCGGAGUGACAGGUUUUGUUCACGCGUGCCAUCGCAUGCCCUCUGUCAACGUCGCCAUCUAUUCCGUCAUCCUUUUUGACCGUUGGCCGCCACUUUCGUUAACUCGCUCUCGUGUGGGAAGGACGAGGAUGGCAGGGCAUUGCUGGAGACGUUCACGCGUCUUUGCGCCGUCACCGUCACUGUAUCGCUAUAAGAGAAAGUUGGGGAAUCUGGAUGGGUAUUGCCUUUGUUCUGAUUUUCCGUGGGGGUAAAGAUUUGGGUCGGAUCGAGAAACAAGGUGGGCUGGAGGACAUUUUGCUCCACAAAUAGUGAUAAAAUGACUAUGUUUUUCAUAUAUAAAACGGAUAAAUAGAUUUGUAGGCAUAUGGAAUUCAGAAUAUCUGAAUUAGAUCUAUUUCACGAGUUCUACUAAAAUUUGCAUAAAGUAAAUUGGCAAUAAUUAAUGAAUGAGCUUCUAGACUUUGAGAAGAUGAAAUAAUUAACUCCACUGCAAACUUGUAACUCGAAAAUAUAAUUACUAAUCUAGACGAUAUUUAUUUAAUACAAUAUUAAGUAAAACUAAAAUCUUUUUUAGGCGGUUUUCAAAUACUUUAAACUAAUUAUGUAAAACAUAUAAAAACACAUAUCACUUAGAACACCAUAAAAUAUUGACUAAAGCUACCUUAAAGGUGUAACGACCUGUUUAGUCGUUUUGAACAGCAGAUUUUAUUUCUAGAAAAAACAGGCUGAGGCGACGGACCCCACGACGGACCGUCAUGGGCACGACGGACCGUCGCAGGGUCUCGUUUCAAAACACUUAGAAAAUCUGAAAUGGGGUACUGAAAAUCGACUCUCUGAACUUUGUAACGGAAUGGCAGGACGAACCGUCACAGGUGUGGCGGACCGUCACA